CCUACGGGAGGCAGCAGUGGGGAAUCUUGCGCAAUGGGCGAAAGCCUGACGCAGCCAUGCCGCGUGAAUGAUGAAGGUCUUAGGAUUGUAAAAUUCUUUUAGCAGGGACGAUAAUGACGGUACCUGCAGAAAAAGCCCCGGCUAACUUCGUGCCAGCAGCCGCGGUAAU
rnacentral:rRNA from 1 species